AUACAUGCAAGUCGAGCGCGCCCUUCGGGGUGAGCGGCGGACGGGUGAGUAACGCGUGGGAAUAUGCCCUUCUCUACGGAAUAGCCACUGGAAACGGUGAGUAAUACCGUAUACGCCCUUAGGGGGAAAGAUUUAUCGGAGAAGGAUCAGCCCGCGUUAGAUUAGGUAGUUGGUGGGGUAACGGCCUACCAAGCCUACGAUCUAUAGCUGGUUUUAGAGGAUGAUCAGCCACACUGGGACUGAGACACGGCCCAGACUCCUACGGGAGGCAGCAGUAGGGAAUCUUGGACAAUGGGGGAAACCCUGAUCCAGCCAUGCCGCGUGAGUGAAGAAGGCCUUAGGGUCGUAAAGCUCUUUCGCCUGUGAUGAUAAUGACAGUAGCAGGUAAAGA
rnacentral:rRNA from 1 species